UUCCCGCGUUAUGGGUGAUCCAACUAUUUGUAAUUCUCUUCUUCCAUUUUGCUUUAAUUCAUUGGCGAUGUAAAAUGUUUGUAAUUAUAAUUAUUUUGUACACUGCUAAAUAAUAUAUUUUAUACUUUAUGGUUACAAGAGUCUCACAAAAUAUAAAGUAUAUAUAUAAUAUGCUAUCAAGAACGCUUACUGGCGCAAAUUUUCGCAGUUUUUCCUGUUUGUGCCAUGUAAAUCUUAGACAUGUAUUUAAACAUAUUACAAAAAUUUUAAUCGAACCCUCGACUUUAAACGAAUUAAAAUAGUCACUUUGAUCCUGGGGAAACAUUAAAAUAAAACGACAGUUCAGUUAGAAGAUAGGAAAGGAAAGCUUCGAUUUUAGCUUCCCGAUGAUUUGGUUGAUUGUAAAUCUGAGUCUCUUUUGAUCCGCUAUGUUGGAUUCUAAUUGCUUUCUAAACACGUUUUUUUAAUGGACGUAAGUCACUUGGUGAAUUAUCCGGUUUUCCGCUUUCCAUUACUCAUAACAGCAAAAGUAUUACAAUAUAUUAUUAAUAUUUUAAUCUGUUUGCAAAUAACUGUUUAUAUUAUAUCACAUACCCAAAUUAUCAUUCUCUUAAUUAAUAGAGUAAUGAGGAAUUACUGCAUGACAAGAUAUGCUGAGAUUUGUUUAAUUUAAAACAAAAAUUAAUUAUUUUGUUUAUUAUUUUCUAGUUGUAGAUCCUAAAAACAGCCAUGGAAUGCAGUCUGCUUCAAGUAUAUUCAUUGCUGUUGUUUGCUCCUUGGUGAUUAUUGCUGCAAUCAUCUUUAUUAGCGCGUUUAUUUGGAAGCGUUCUAGAGGACACAGCAUAAGCUAUAGGUUUGUAAAUCAUAAAGCAAGUGGACCUUAUAUUGAAAAUAUGAUUUAAGGUGACCGCAUGCUCAACUGAAAUCGAAGUUGUUUUGAGAUUAUUGAGGUGAAUACAAGGUAUGAGUGACAGCGUGGCAGUAAUAUUACACAAAUAUUCAUUUUCUUUUUGUUCCUGUUUUAAAUUUCAAAGCCUAAGACGGUCUGCAUGUCUAUUAAAAUAUUAAUCAUCUUCGUUGAAAAUUGUAAUGAGAUAUUUUAACUAUUUAGAAUGAAUGUUUAAAAUAUUAGGCAUUUCACCCUCUAUACUAUGUUGAUGAUUAGUUAAAAUAUUACAUUACAAUUUUUUACAGUUUCACAAUAGCAAAAA